AAUGAUGGCCAGGCUGUCUCCACCCGAGACUCAGUGAAAUUGAACUCGCUGUGAAGAUGCAGUGUACCCGCGGCAAGACGGAAAGACCCCGUGAACCUUUACUAUAGCUUGACACUGAACAUUGAGCCUUGAUGUGUAGGAUAGGUGGGAGGCUUUGAAGCGUGGACGCCAGUCUGCGUGGAGCCGACCUUGAAAUACCACCCUUUAAUGUUUGAUGUUCUAACGUGGACCCGUGAUCCGGGUUGCGGACAGUGUCUGGUGGGUAGUUUGACUGGGGCGGUCUCCUCCUAAAGAGUAACGGAGGAGCACGAAGGUUGGCUAAUCCUGGUCGGACAUCAGGAGGUUAGUGCAAUGGCAUAAGCCAGCUUGACUGCGAGCGUGACGGCGCGAGCAGGUGCGAAAGCAGGUCAUAGUGAUCCGGUGGUUCUGAAUGGAAGGGCCAUCGCUCAACGGAUAAAAGGUACUCCGGGGAUAACAGGCUGAUACCGCCCAAGAGUUCAUAUCGACGGCGGUGUUUGGCACCUCGAUGUCGGCUCAUCACAUCCUGGGGCUGAAGUAGGUCCCAAGGGUAUGGCUGUUCGCCAUUUAAAGUGGUACGCGAGCUGGGUUUAGAACGUCGUGAGACAGUUCGGUCCCUAUCUGCCGUGGGCGCUGGAGAACUGAGGGGGGCUGCUCCUAGUACGAGAGGACCGGAGUGGACGCAUCACUGGUGUUCGGGUUGUCAUGCCAAUGGCACUGCCCGGUAGCUAAAUGCGGAAGAGAUAAGUGCUGAAAGCAUCUAAGCACGAAACUUGCCCCGAGAUGAGUUCUCCCUGAGACUUAGAGUCUCCUGAAGGAACGUUGAAGACGACGACGUUGAUAGGCCGGGUGUGUAAGCGCAGCGAUGCGUUGAGCUAACCGGUACUAAUGAACCGUGAGG
rnacentral:rRNA from 1 species